ensembl:ncRNA lncRNA:iab4 long non-coding RNA:iab4
GCAAAACGUUGGAAAGCAAACAACCGCAAAAAAGCCAUCAGCUAAAAAUAAAACUGCAACUAUCAAAGUGAAUCUGUAGAGAAAGAGUGAUAGCUCAGUGUGCCCAGUGUUUAUUUAAUUACUUAUUUAAAUUUGAUUUUCAAAAUAAGUUGUGAUUUUGGUUCGUUUGUUUGUUUCCCCAUUAAAUCGCAUCGCGGAACUGGUUUGCAUUUUGUAUCUUUUAUCGCUGCAGUUCGUUUAUGUGUGGAUAAAAGUGAAUGAAACCCUAACGUUUAAACGCCGCCAUAAACACCAAAUAACAAAUUUUCUGGCAAACAUGGCAUGUCACGGUCCCAUUUAACGUGGAAAAUCGGCCCAGAAAUUCAACACGACGACAACUUUUUCGACUGUCCCAGAAAGCAAAUAUGUAAAGUGUAUUUGUGUGCGUGCCAUUGACAUUGACUUAUGGUCAUGAAGGGGUUAGGGGGGACGGGUCUAAGGGUGGGGGUUGAUGGCUAAAGGGGGGUCUCGCCGCUACGACAAAAACUUGGAUUCUCUCGUUUCUUUUUUGUCUUUCGUCUUCAACGCACAUUUAUGGUUUGUUUUGCUCACACACACACUCAAAAAGCCUACGCAGCGGCAGAGAGGGCACAAGCAGCAGAGAAAGAGACGAAACAUGUCUCGGAUGAUGAUAAACGCCUCUCGUCUAUUUUGGCGGGUCCAUGAAUGAAACAAUUGCCUCGAAUGACUGACUGCCAGACAGAUAGCUAGAAACUGCCCUUACGGGGGGCAAAUUGGGGUAUUUUGGGUUUCGGUGACUUUGAGGGACCGGGACCUGAGGGCCCGGAAAGCCGACAGCAAUAAACACUGUGCUACGACAAAAGUCUGAUGAGACAGACCAUCAUGAUGCUCAUCAUCAUCGGCGAUAAUAAUGAUUUUCAUUUGCACAUUCCACCCGUUUCGCUGUUGCCGGCUUCCAGCAUUCAGAUUCAGUUUGCAUUCAGUGGGGCAGGUUAUUUAUGGCACUUUUCCUAUCGCCACUCACUGGGGUAAUCGAUUUUUAUUGGAUUAAUAUUGCUUUCCGCAUGAUUUGGCCUUCUUUUCGUUAUCACUUAGCAGGUUUCUUGACGCUGAGGAGUGGACAAUGACUAAAACUCAGUCAUCUGGAAAAGCUGGUAAGUCUUAAGUGUUUCCUUUACAAUUAUAGUAAUGUGAUUCAAAUUAACCAGAUUUACUUUAAAAUUAAACAUUUAGCUAAGAAUUUGCAUAUUUAUUAAUCAAAUGGGUUAAUGUCUAGAACAGGGUUUCUAUAUAAUAUUGGUAGACCACUUAUUUAUAGUCUUCUCUUGUGAAUCUAUGAUGAUUGUUUAUUAGGCAUAACGACUAGCUUUAAGUAUUUAUUACCAUUGCCUUGGCCUCAAGUUCCAAGAAUUUGGAGAACCUCGCACUCAGCCAUUUUCCCCUCCCUGGUUCCAUGGCGAAUGGGGCGUAUGCGCAAUAUGUCUGCGCAUCCAGUAUUCGACCAGAAAUCGGUCAAACUGCCACCUGGCUACUUAUUAGCGGCACUAAAUCAAAUCAGCCUGCCCGGAUAGACAGAUUUUACGAGCGGUGCGCCAGUUACGAAGCUGCAUUUUUCACAUGCGUAUAAAUCAAUCAGGAAGGACCCCGACAUUGGGCAUCAGCCUCUCGGGCCAAAAGGUUCGAAACUCGAAUUCAGAGGUCGUUCGCUGAACCUAGAUCAGUUACCAACUGCACCAACAAUGGCAGAGCAGACGACAGUCAUAAAGUUUAGUUUUACGACUGCGAAACGCAUAAUUAAGCACUCUCACCUACACGAAUGCAUUCGCCAGGGGCGGUUUUCGGAUUUUGCGUCUAAGAAUCACACACACACGCAUGAUGACCCACCCCCUGAGACAAUGGCUGCCAAAUGGCAAACAGCCCUCUUGUUUUUAUAACCAUUUAUCCGAGUUUUGAUUGCGAUAUUCGGGAUUUCGUUCUAUGCGAACAGAUGCAGGCGUGAAGCAUCAAAAAUGGCACAUGCAACAUAUGCAGAGGGAAACAGUCUUCACUCGCUUAAGUGAACUCUAAUUGAUUCUGGGAGUACCAAUAUGAUAAACGAUUGUACCUCUUAUAUUUUUUAGCACUUUUAAUUAAAACAAAGUGUUAAUUCCUAAAUAUAACGCAUAAAACGCAUACGCUUACCAGGCUAUGAUAGACCAAUUUUCCUUUUCGAUAAUAUAUGAAAAUAAAAUCUGUCUGCCUUAUAAUAUGUACAGCCAAGGUUCCGAGACAAUGUGACAUUGUCUGAAUGUCGGGGGUUGUUAUUCGAUUAUUUUGUACAUUUCGACCAUUGCCCCACGGCCUAAUGAGGCUGCAGAAAUGCCAAAGAUGCGAGGAGGAAUUUACAUGUGUGGCUAACGCCCCGAACAUUAAAUUAAUGCCCCCGGUCAGUCUGGCCUUGCGAAUAUUAUCAAAUCGUUGAGCUCGACUUGAACCGUGGUCGUCGCCGCUUCGACUUUGAAUGCAUAAAUUGCCGGCAGACAGACUGUCGGUCUGCGGGGUUCUCUAAUUUGGCCAUUCGAAUUGCAGCUCAGACAAGAGGCAAUCGUUAUGGCAGCUGCUGCUCCAUGGAGCAUAAAUUGCACACUAAUUGUGUCCAUUUCAAGGCGUCGCCUUGUGUUUUCACAUCCAGCCCAGCCACCCACUUGGCCGGCCAUUAGUCGUUUUAAUAAAACAAAAUAAACUAAAAUACGGUGGCGUACUCUGUGCGCAAGUGUCGUGGCCAUCUUCAACCUCAACUCAACUGGGUCCAAGUCUGGUUUUCAGUCUCUGUCUCUGGCACUUCACUCCUCCAACACCCUCGACUUUUCCGCUGGCGUGGCUGUCGCCAUCGCCAUCGCCUCGUGUUUAGUUUGGGUGUGAAAUCUAAUUUGAAAAGUUUGUGUAGUCAUUUUGAUGCCGGAGCGCACUCAGCAGCAUAUGCUACCCACCGCUCGGGUUUUCUUUUCUAAUUUUGUUUGCAAGUCAUUGACGGCAAUAUAGCCCGGUUCCACCAAAACCCCAAGACCCUCCGCCCGAUUUCAAACAUCUCUGUCCACCGGCUGUGGCUCGAGAAUUUUAUAGGAACCGCACCGAGCACAUUUGCCAGACAUUGAACGUGAGCAUUCAGAAAUUUAAAUUAGAAUUUCCAGCAAAUAGUUUUGAAGCAGGCUCUAGGAAAAAGGGAAUGACAUUUGUUGAAAUAAUUUUAUGACUAUCAGGAUACAAAUGUGGGAUUUAGAAUAAAUAGAACACCGACGUAAAAUGUGCCUUAAACUAUUAUCAAUUGCUUUUACGUCUUAUAGUUAAUAUGCAAAGAAUUUAUUUUAAAAGAGUUCCUUCCUUUUUAGUUACUGUAUAACAAAUCUAAGCUAGGAUUUUACAAAUCUAAAAACUAGUUUGAUGUAAAUCAAAAAUUUCAGACAAAGAACAUAUAUUUUUUAAAUAAUUGCCCAUAUAUUUCAUUUUUAAAGCCGAGACCAGAAAACGUUCUUCGUCUCGCCGCAAAGUCAAUUCGAGGUGAAGCAAAUUUGAAAACUAAAUUAAACUUCAAUUCCUGGGACAUAAUCCCCGAUGGGCGAUAAAGAAAUAUACUUCACGGAGGGAAAAGAAUGAAAUAGAACAGAGCAGAAUAAUUGAGGAGACAAAAUAAAAAAGGUGGAAAAGAAAUGAAAACUCAUUUGGAAACUGCGCCCCAGAGGUGGUGAAUGCUCCCAGAAAAGUUUAGAAAUGUGCACGGCUUCCAUGCGUGGGUGUGGAGUGCCUCGGGAUGAGGAUGAGCUGUGGAGCGUGGAAACAAUCAACUGAAAGCGUUGAUGGUGACGACUGCUCCUUCUUGUGGUCCAUGGCAGGUAUAACCGCAAGAGGGACUGGGAUGCGGAAUGCGUCUGCUGGCAACAAUGGCGCAAUGGCGUCUGUAAUUCCAAGCAAUUGUUUCCGUUCUCUCGCGACGCUUUUGUCUGUCCUGUUUCCCUUGGUGUUUUUGGUCCCGCCCAGUGGAGCGUGCAUUUAACAUCACUUGCCGCAGAGGACUCAUCUGCAGCUCCAAUUCCAGCAUUUUGGCACCUUUGGCCGGAAUGGCAACGAUUUGCCAUAAAGUCACGUACCUUGAUAUCGGGCGAUUUGGCGAACUAGGAUUUCUGGCAAUGGUCGAGCAUCCCUCGGCUCGUUGGCUCGCCAAAUUGUCGCACAUUCUUAGGGGAGUCCAGGUCCCGAGUAUCUUGACUAUCCCCAAAAUAACCUGAUACCAAGUCCGCCCUCGACGCUCGUUAUGCGGGCGGGCGGCCGUCUGUUUAGCACAUCCCCCUGUCUGUCCGCUGGGAGUCGACGUUUUGCAUUGGAAUUUGCUUUGCCAAAUGCCGCCAUUUAGGGUUGUGCCAAUAAAAAAAUGAUAUUUAUGGUUGUAACGGCCGUUCUGUGUGUACGCCCUCCCCACAUCGAACACCGCCCUAACAUCACCCUCCCCCAACGCCCGACAAGCCCAUCCGAAAACUGGCGGUCAGAGCAUGCAGAGACAUAAAGACACGGGCCUAGGCACAGUUGGAUUAGGUAGUACAAAUUUUACAUAAAAACGGUACACGAUUUUAUUCAAUAAGAUAAAAGAAUUUAGUAAUUUAUAUUCUUAAAUAAAUACAGUAUUAAAGCAAAAAGUAAACAUUUGUAUCAAACGUAUGUAUUUUAAGUAUGCCACCUAAGUUAAUAGAUUAUUCACGUUAAGAACUUAACUCUAACAUUUCAGCUUCAACAGAUGAUACUUAUCAGUAUUUAAAAACAAUUUUCUAUGUAAUUUAUUGAAAUUUGUUUGUCCAUUGAUUUUUCUAUGGAAAGUUUAGUAUUGAACCACUGUUUUCGAGGGUUGCCACGGCACACAAAUGAAAUCUCACAGGCAUAACGAGCUCAUGACUCUUUGCUGGCAAGGGUUGGGCAGAAAAAAAGGAAGUAGCACAGAAACAGGAGCCAGGACUCUUACACACACAGACGGCCACUGACAUAGGCAAAUAUAUAGUGGCUGAGACUUGGGCACAUACACAUAGAAAAAUAUGGCACGUACUCCACGAAAGCCAUAAGUUUACGUUUUAUAUCGGGCAAACUGUGCAAUAUUAUAAAUUUUGAAUUUUAUCUUGGGCAUUAGAUUGCCAGAGAGUUGCCUGGUUGGCUGCGAACCUCUCAACCUCACUCCCAGUCUUCCGCCGUAUUUCCCAGACUUUGUGUGAGUUGGGUUGGAUGGCCGACCGCCCCUUUCUUGUUAGGGAUUAAACGAAAGGACGUGCUCGAGGGCGCAAGUAGGAGCUCCUGGCGGAUGGGGCAGGUGGGUAAUGGAUGGCAACAAAGGGUGAUUAUCGCGAUUGGCGAAAUAGUUGAGCUGGGGCUGGGAAUAUUAAUGCCAGAGGUAUCUGGAAACUUUGUGCGUUGUCGUAACUUCUUGAACUUACUGUUUUCUUUUCGCUUUCCUUUCCAUGAUAUUUUCCAGGACCAAGGACAUCCAUAUAUGGCGGAAUAGAAGGACACGUCUUAUGUGACAAGUGCUGGCUAAACGUCUGUGGUUAUCGCAAUCAUUUUCGAUUUUCGGGCCCCAUCCCUGUUGAAAAAUCAGCCGGACAGCAGCAACCACCGAACACAAGACACAGGACGACCGGAAGUGAGGAAAACGCUUGUAAAAUCGGUCGCACACGAGUGCGAGCGAGACACGAGCGAACGGGCCGAAAGGAAACGACAAUUACGAGGACACGCCGGCUUGCUUUUCUGCUUUUCCUGUCUGCUCCUUUCAGUUGCGGCCGUGCAAUCGUCGGGUCAACAACGCCGCGUGUCCGAUUUCAAUCUACAAAUUAGAAUAUACAUCUUUACAUCUGGAUAUGGUUUCAUCUUUAUCUGCAUUUGGAUCCGCGACGACGCAUAAUUUUCAGCACUUUUGAAUAAUGGCGAUUCUGUGCGACCUCGUAAACGUAUACUGAAUGUAUCCUGAGUGUAUCCUAUCCGGUAUACCUUCAGUAUACGUAACACGAGAGAGCACUAACAACGUGGGAUGUGAAACACUUUUUAAGACACCUUAAUACACGUAGCACUUUGUUAUAUGGUCUUACACUUUUUUAAAUAUCUCGACUUAUAAAUAUAUAAUUUAAAUAUAAAUACUUUAAUAAAUGCCCGAUAUAAAGUUAAA